rnacentral:rRNA from 1 species
UACGUAGGGUGCGAGCGUUACUCGGAAUUACUGGGCGUAAAGGGUGCGCAGGCGGUUCCGCAUGUCGGGCGUGAAAUCCCCGGGCUUAACCUGGGAAUGGCGUCCGAAACUAUGGGACUGGAGUGUGGCAGAGGGAGGUGGAAUUCCACGUGUAGCGGUGAAAUGCGUAGAGAUGUGGAGGAACACCGAUGGCGAAGGCAGCCUCCUGGGCCAACACUGACGCUCAUGCACGAAAGCGUGGGGAGCAAACAGG